rfam:Trichinella nelsoni scaffold289s, whole genome shotgun sequence.
CUCUACGAUCAUAGUACGUUGAAAGCACUGCAUUCUGCCUGAUCUGCAAAGUUAAGCAACGUUGGGCUGACGGGACAACCAGAAUCAGAGACGGUCUGCAAACACGCGAGAUCACAGAUA